GAGCAUUCAACAUGGAUUACUGAUUAUUGUUUUCCGAUGUGAUGUGUUGUAGCAUAUGCUUCAGAUUUGAUAUUUUCUGGUGUAAGUUUGAAUCCCCAUGGUAGAAGGGGAGUUAAGUCAUCCCAAGUUAGUUUUGGACCACGCGAUGUGGUUUCACCGCCCAGUUAGAGCUGAUGACUGGUUACUCUAUGUGAUAGUAAGUCCCAUUGCCUAUAAUGCACGCGGAUUUGUUUCAGGCCAAAUGUUUAAUAGAAAUGGAGAGCUCAUUGUUUCAUUGACUCAAGAGUCCCUGAGUAGGCCAAUUAGACCAAUUUCUGCUCCGACAUCUAAGUUGUGAGCUGGUGUUGCAGUAUACCAUGGCACCUAAAAGCACGGCCGGCUAUCAUGUCCUGGUGAACCAGUUUUAGUUCAGGUUCCGGGUUUCUGCCCCGGGUUUUACAGCUAAAUAGAAUAAUGGAAUCAUAGUAUUUGUUAUCAAAAUGCUUGCAAGAAGUGUGUAAUUUCAAUUCUGUUUAGAUGUAGCAGUUGCCCAGAUUGCUGACAUUGUCAGCCGCCAAACUGUAGUCCUUGGCCUAAGCAUCAUAAAUGAACUAAAGAAUGUUUUUACAGUUUUAUGGAGUGAAAUUAAAUGUGUAAUCGAAUGUUUAAACGUUUAAGUGAAGCAACCUCUUCAAUUUUUUAAAUUUUUUAUGAUUACUCUUGUUUUGGAUAGGUGGCUUGUGGUGGAUGAAUCUACUUCAUUACAUAUCUGUAUCAAACUAAAAGCUGAGGGAUGAGGAGAGAAAAAGCUUAGCAGAGGAUCCGGAUCCUUGUCGGAAAUCAGAUAAUGUCCAUUUUCAAGUAGUUUCUCAUGUACAUGCUUUGAUGAUGGCUUUGCCUCAUCUUCAAAAUAUAUGACCACUUUGUUGACGACAUUAAGAUUUCUUAAAAGACAAUAUAAAUUAAAGAUUUCUAUACACUAUUGAUGAGCACAUAAACUAUCACAUUUUUUAUCCCUAAAUAUAUUUGUUAGUAAUUGAUUUUCUUACAAUUUUAGUUAAUUAGGUUUGUUUUUCACUUUUGCACUUGCUUACAUACCCAUUACAUAAUUGAUGAUGAUUUCAUUAUUUUAUCUUAAGGUUGAAGAAGAUUAUUGGAUGCUAGUAGGCAAAUGGAGGCAAGAUUUAUUAAAAAGAUUGCAAGAUGCACCACCUUGCCAAAGAGAAGAGAAAUGCAUGUAAGUGCAUGAUCAAGUGUUCAAGUGGAAGACAUAUUCAAUUCAUGCAUGGAGUGGAUGAAGCAACAAACAUGAUGGUGGCUUGAAGAUGUGGAAUCAUGAACUAUUAAAAUUGUGAGUUAAGCAAAUGAAAUGAAGGAUGAUGAGAAGAGGUGCAACACUUAACCAAAAGAAAAGAUUGAAUAACAAAAGCAAGUAGAAGUGGAGCAACAAUUGAAGAAAAGAAGAAACAAUGAAGAGAUGGGUUA